rnacentral:rRNA from 1 species
CAAGUCGCGUGCGCAGUUUCCGUAGCAAUACGGGGAUGGGCGCACGGCGCACGGGUGCGUAACACGUGGGCAAUCUGCCCUCCGAUGGGGAAUACCCCCGCGAAAGCGGGACUAAUUCCGCAUAACAUUCCUUGGAUUAACUUUCGAGGAUUCAAAGCAGCAAUGCGUCGGAGGAGGAGCCCGCGCCCGAUUAGCUAGUUGGUGAGGUAACGGCUCACCAAGGCAAUGAUCGGUAGCUGGUCUGAGAGGAUGGCCAGCCACACUGGAACUGAGACACGGUCCAGACUCCUACGGGAGGCAGCAGUGGGGAAUCUUGCACAAUGGGCGAAAGCCUGAUGCAGCGACGCCGCGUGGGGGAUGAAGCUUUUCGGAGUGUAAACCCCUUUCGACUGGGACGAAUGCCUCGCAAGAGGAGUGACGGUACCAGUAUAAGAAGCCCCGGCUAACUACGUGCCAGCAGCCGCGGUAAGACGUAGGGGGCCAGCGUUGUUCGGAAUUACUGGGUGUAAAGGGUUCGUAGGCGGUGUGGCAAGUCGGGAGUGAAAUCUCUGGGCUCAACCCAGAGGCUGCUUCCGAAACUGCUGUGCUUGAGUGUGAGAGAGGCUCGUGGAAUUGCAGGUGUAGCGGUGAAAUGCGUAGAUAUCUGCAGGAACACCCGUGGCGAAAGCGGCGAGCUGGAUCACUACUGACGCUGAGGAACGAAAGCUAGGGGAGCAAACAGGAUUAGAUACCCUGGUAGUCCUAGCCCUAAACGAUCAGGACUUGGGGUGCCGCCCGUUCGGGCGUCGUCCCGGAGCUAACGCGUUAAGUCCUGCACCUGGGGAGUACGGUCGCAAGACUGAAACUCAAAGGAAUUGACGGGGGCCCGCACAAGCGGUGGAACAUGUGGUUCAAUUCGACGCUACGCGAGGAACCUUACCUGGGCUCGAA